AACUGAUACUACCUGCGGGAACCUGCGGAAGGAUCAUUACAAGUGACCCCGGUCUAACCACCGGGAUGUUCAUAACCCUUUGUUGUCCGACUCUGUUGCCUCCGGGGCGACCCUGCCUUCGGGCGGGGGCUCCGGGUGGACACUUCAAACUCUUGCGUAACUUUGCAGUCUGAGUAAACUUAAUUAAUAAAUUAAAACUUUUAGCAACGGAUCUCU
rnacentral:misc_RNA from 1 species